AAGAAUGGAACAAGAAAGAGACUAAGACAAUGUUCAAGAACGAGAGGAAGAGAGGCUACCGAGAAUUAGAACAACAAAUGGCCAGGAUUUUGAAUGGUUUGGCCGCCUUACAUUUUCAAAUAUAAAUGAAGAAUUUGGAGGCCCAGCUAGUCAGUGACAAACUAAAAGGAAGAAGGUGAUAUACCAUGCCAUUAAUUUUCUUUUCAGUUCCCAUGAUUUGGCUGUUUUAAGUGGUGGAAUGAUAAUGUAUUAUGUUUGUUUGUUGAACCUCGGGAAUAGCUUUGCAAAUAACAAACUUCAGUACAAAGAUGUCAAAGUUUUGAUAUAAACUGUACUAACUUAUAAUUGCAUAUUAUAAUUAUAGUGAACUAGAUAGGCGCUCACAUGCUAGUGGUCUGCGGUGACAUUUUAAGCUCUUGUUUAUUGUCUUUAAUGCCAGUGUGUAGCAGCCAGCAAAAUUAGCUCUACUUCUUGGUGUGAAUUUAUGAUGGUUAUUUAGUUUAUUUUAUUUUUACACUGCAUCAUGCUAUGUUUCAUGAGUAUAAACAUGAUAUGCUUGGCAUGCAGUUUUGGGGGAAAAAGGAAGCAUCUCAUGUGUAAAUUUCGUUUGACCUUGCAUUUUACUGCUUACUAUUUACUAUACAUCCAGAAUUGUACUUGGAAGUGUCAUUAUAGUUCUUUAGAAGUGGGCUUUUGUGUCCAUCAGCCAUGAUUUUGUAGAGAUGCCAGUUGAAUAAAUCUGAUUCUCUAAUCUCGCAAGGAUAAUGAUUAACUUCUGUAUAUAUAGAUACUCCUACAGCAUGUAUAAAAAAGAUAAUUUGAGUCAUUUCUCAUAAUUGGAUCCUCUUUCUUUCAUGUACAUGAAUUAUUUCAGCUUAUUUGUAUGUAGAAAGCCUUGGUUUUAUUUUCUAGGCUAAUUCAACUUGUGCAAGAUGUAGGAAAGUGAACCAAUAAAAAUUGUUUAUUGAACCAAAUGUUUGUAGUGUUUCACUGGAUUAAAUCUGUGGGCUUGUCACUAAUCGGAUACCAUUUAGGGGACCUUAAUUUCUCCAGCUAGUUUCCCUCUUAUUUUGUGUAGUACAUGUAGAGAGCUUAGAAGGAAAAGCAAGCUCAAAUACAAGCUAAUUUAAUUCACUGGCUAGUACAGUAACUUAGCGCAUUCAACCUGCUUAUACCAAUUUGCUUAUUGCCGUAACUUAUAUCACUCUAUUUCUCGAUCCUGCUUGAAGGUGCAACUGUAACUUUGCAUAUGUGCUUGUUCAAUACAGUAGCUUCAAAAUGCGCUUGUGUAAUAUUUAGUGUGUGAUUGUGGCCUCGUGCUUGUGUUUCCAAAUGCAGAAGACAAUCAAAUGGUCAUCAAUUCUGUUUGCUUUACUUCGGUACAGGAAUAGCCUCACUACAAGAUAGGUACACCUACUAAUUACUGUUGAUAUUUGUUAAUAUCUGUACAGACUUUGCAAACUAUAUUUGGAUGAGAAGUAAGAGAAGCUUGCUACUGUCAAGAUGAUAAAAAAUGGACAUGUUCUCUACUAAAGUAGAGAUUACUCUAGAGAUGGUACUAGUUGCUCUAUGUUUCAGAACAUAUACGGCUGUUGUAUGUGGUUGUUGUCACAUCUUCCUGUUUAUAGACUUUGCACAUUACAUUUUGAUGAGAAGAUAAGCUUGCUACUGUUAAGAUGAUAAAAAAUGGACACCUUCUCUACUAUAGUAGAGAUUAGUCUAGAGAAAAUAUGCGGCUGUUGUAUGUGAUUGUUGUAACAUCUUCCUUAAGUUCUGAAUGCUGCUGUUGUAUGUAACAUCUUACGAUCUAUGGCAGCUGCAGAUUUCCCAAAGGUGAACAAGUUCACUAAGGUUUGGAAGAUUUUCAAGCUGAUGAAGAUUUGGAAGACCUACAAUGUCCUGCGUCUUGUUUGUUGAACCUAGACAUUUGCUCUGCUCAUUUUGGUGGUGGUUUGGCUGUGUGGCACACAUCUAGAAGCAUAUGUACAUCUUUUGUGGCACUACUUUAGUUUGGUUGUGGGGUAAACAUAUAUAUGUACUCCUUUCGUGGCACAACCUCUACAUAUAUUGUCGUUAUGUUUAUCAAAUGAAGUUUAAGGUUUUCGAUGAGGCCUAUAUGUUACAUUGGUUGAAGUGCGUGUAUAAAUUGUGUGAUAUGUCUUGAUUGUCUGGACAUAUAUAAUGGAUGGAUAUUACAUAAUAGCGAUGCCUAGAACAUUUCGCUAGUGAAAUUAACA
rnacentral:lncRNA from 1 species